rnacentral:snoRNA from 1 species
GUGCAUUGAAAAGGGACAGUAUUUCUUAUUAGUUCUUUCUGUAUAAUUUCGAUGCGAAAUGGUAGAGAGACGCAGUGUUACUCUUCAUCACAUUCCUUGUGAACGAAGAGUGUCAAGCGUUUCCCACAUUA